CUCCCCGCUGUCGAGCGGCGGACGGGUGAGUAAUGCAUAGGAAUUUGCCCAGUAGUGGGGGAUAGCCCGGGGAAACCCGGAUUAAUACCGCAUACGCCCUACGGGGGAAAGCAGGGGAUCUUCGGACCUUGCGCUAUUGGAUGAGCCUAUGUCGGAUUAGCUAGUUGGUGGGGUAAAGGCCUACCAAGGCGACGAUCCGUAGCUGGUUUGAGAGGAUGAUCAGCCACAUCGGGACUGAGACACGGCCCGAACUCCUACGGGAGGCAGCAGUGGGGAAUAUUGGACAAUGGGGGCAACCCUGAUCCAGCCAUGCCGCGUGUGUGAAGAAGGCUUUCGGGUUGUAAAGCACUUUCAGUGAGGAGGAAAACCUUACGAUUAAUACUCGUGAGGCUUGACGUUACUCACAGAAGAAGCACCGGCUAACUCCGUGCCAGCAGCCGCGGUAAUACGGAGGGUGCAAGCGUUAAUCGGAAUUACUGGGCGUAAAGCGCGCGUAGGUGGUUUGGUAAGCGAGAUGUGAAAGCCCCGGGCUUAACCUGGGAACGGCAUUUCGAACUGCCAGGCUAGAGUAUGGUAGAGGGUAGUGGAAUUUCCUGUGUAGCGGUGAAAUGCGUAGAUAUAGGAAGGAACACCAGUGGCGAAGGCGGCUA
rnacentral:rRNA from 1 species